rnacentral:rRNA from 1 species
AGAUUGAACGCUGGCGGCAUGCUUUACACAUGCAAGUCGAACGGCAGCGCGGGGCAACCUGGCGGCGAGUGGCGAACGGGUGAGUAAUAUAUCGGAACGUACCCAAGAGUGGGGGAUAACGUAGCGAAAGUUACGCUAAUACCGCAUACGAUCUAAGGAUGAAAGCAGGGGACCGCAAGGCCCUGUGCUCCUGGAGCGGCCGAUAUCUGAUUAGCUAGUUGGUAGGGUAAAGGCCUACCAAGGCUACGAUCAGUAGCUGGUCUGAGAGGACGACCAGCCACACUGGAACUGAGACACGGUCCAGACUCCUACGGAGGCAGCAGUGGGGAAUUUUGGACAAUGGGCGCAAGCCUGAUCCAGCAAUGCCGCGUGAGUGAAGAAGGCCUUCGGUUGUAAAGCUCUUUGUCAGGAAGAAACGGUGGAAGCGUAAAUAUACGUCCCACUAAUGACGGUACCUCGAAGAAUAAGACACCGGCUAACGUACGUAGCCAGCAGCCGUA